AGGUGAGAAAUCUUUUGCACCAGCGUAAUCAAAUGUAAGCUCCUCUAGAGGCUGAAUGUCUUUGAUGGCAAAAAAAGCGAGAUCAUAAAUGGUUCGAAAUCCAUGGUUCCGAACAGCAGAAUAAAUAGCUAUAUUAGGUGAACAGGAGUGGUUAAAAAAACGAGAGACAUCUCCAUAGUUCUGAGCAUCCACUGUAUACUCGCUAGCAUCAUCAAACAUGUCUAAAUCAAAUAAAUAGGUAAUACCGUCGUCGUCAUAAUUUUUGUCACGCUUGGCGGCCUCUGCUGAAGUUAUGACUUCUCCUAAAUAGCAAGUGAUAAACGUGCCAGCAGGGGCAAAUCGAAGCGAACGUACACCCCAUCCUUUUUCUUUUGUUUUAAAUAUUUCAAGCGGAAGAGUUCUACCACGUUGAACAACGCGAUUAGGACACUCCAUUGAACAAGAACAAAAAGAGUUGCAUUCAUAUAUAACGGCACCCGUAUCUGCACGGACCCGCCCCUGUGCAUCAUAGGCAAAAUGAGUUGGCUCAUCCAAAUCAUCUAAACACUCACAACGAGAAGGAUUGUUAAGGUCACAACCGCCAAGGGACGAGCAAUUGCAUCCAGAUUGAAAAUUUGGAUCAGGCGGGAUAACACCUUGUGUUAAGCGGUACUGGCUAAUGAAUUGAAAAUCUAAAGAUGGACAGGGUUCAUCGUCAACUUCAUUGACAAGCGUUACUUCGGGUCCUUCAAUUUCCCGCAGUUUCUUACGAAAUAGCUCUCUCUUUUCGUAAAAACUUAGAUGGGUAUAAGAGUCAAGUUUGGAAGGGUUUCGCGGUUUUGUGAGAAUUGAAGAUGUUUUGGGGGAUGUAGCUUCUUUAAUAGAAUUGGAAACUAGUUCUCUUUUUUGAGAUUCCUCCUUCACUUCAUUUCUCGUCUUCCCCAGCUUCUUUGAAUUUGUAUGAAGACUAUCGUCUAAAAUGAUACUAGUAUCAUUCGUCGUCAGAGCGGUGGAUUGUUUUCGAGAUUGUCUCUUGGUAGUUUGAGAAGAAAAAACCUUUUUAUUUUCCUUUUUUACAUUCAAUUCCCGCGAAAAUCUUUGAGAACGAGGCACUGACUUUGAAGUUUGAUGUUGGUGCUUUUGUCUACUGUUUGGAUGUGGAUUGCUCGCAUGGUGCGGUGAAUCCGAGUCGGAGUUACUUCCCUUUAGUCUCCUCUUCCGCCUUUUCCAUUCUGCUAAAACGGCAGAACAUCCAGAAAGGUUCUCAGGGGGCUCCCAAGUAUCACUUCUAGAUGAAUAGUUCAACCAUCGAAUGCGAUAUAGUUUGACAGCUCCAUUACGAUCCAAUUUUUCGUCCACAAUCCUUUCAACUUCAUACUCCUCUUGUUUAGGCGACAUUCGCAAAACUAAUAACCUCUUGUUUGGUGAGAUGAUUUUUAGCAAACCCUCCAAAUGAUGCCUGAACGAAUUUAAAAAAUAAAAUAAGGAGAGGGUUUAUGUUAAUAUGACAAUUGCUAAAGGACUAAAAUAAUAGACGACCGCGAACUCAGAAUAUAAAACUGAAUGUUUUUUAGUAAUGAGCAA